GGGCCCGCACAAGCGGUGGAGUAUGUGGUUUAAUUCGAUGCAACGCGAAGAACCUUACCAGGGCUUGACAUCCUGCGAACCUCUGGGAAACCGGAGGGUGCCUUCGGGAACGCAGUGACAGGUGGUGCAUGGCUGUCGUCAGCUCGUGUCGUGAGAUGUUGGGUUAAGUCCCGCAACGAGCGCAACCCACGUCGUUAGUUGCCAGCAUUUAGUUGGGCACUCUAGCGAGACCGCCGGUGAUAAACCGUGAGGAAGGUGGGGAUGACGUCAAAUCAUCACGGCCCUUACAUCCUGGGCUACACACGUACUACAAUGCUACGGACAAAGGGCUGCAAGUUCGCGAGGACAAGCAAAUCCCAUAAACCGUGGCUCAGUUCAGAUCGUAGGCUGCAACUCGCCUACGUGAAGGCGGAAUCGCUAG
rnacentral:rRNA from 1 species